rnacentral:rRNA from 1 species
GAUGAACGCUGGCGGCGUGCUUAACACAUGCAAGUCGAACGGAAAGGCCGAAGCUUGCUUCGGUACUCGAGUGGCGAACGGGUGAGUAACACGUGGGUGAUCUGCCCUGUACUUCGGGAUAAGCUUGGGAAACUGGGUCUAAUACCGGAUAUGACAAUCUCUUGGAUGGGGUUGUGCAAAGCUUUUGCGGUAUGGGAUGAGCUCGCGGCCUAUCAGCUUGUUGGUGGGGUAAUGGCCUACCAAGGCGUCGACGGGUAGCCGGCCUGAGAGGGUGUACGGCCACAUUGGGACUGAGAUACGGCCCAGACUCCUACGGGAGGCAGCAGUGGGGAAUAUUGCACAAUGGGCGCAAGCCUGAUGCAGCGACGCCGCGUGGGGGAUGACGGCCUUCGGGUUGUAAACUCCUUUCGCAACCGACGAAGCUUUUGUGACGGUAGGUUGAGAAGAAGCACCGGCUAACUACGUG